GGAAGAAGGAAAUGGAUGCAGGGGAGGGAACCUACAACAUCCAUUACUUGCUCAAGACAUUAUUCUACGGAUGCCAGAAGGUAGAAAUAACUUUUUCAAGAGAUCUGGCCAUGAACAGGAGGAAGGAGUGCGUCGCAGGCAGGUGGGGUCUGCCUAAACACAGAUGAGAGAGUUUGGGCAGCUCGCUGGACCCAGAAGCAGCAGCCGGUCCUGAAGGAGAGGGCAGGAUGAGGAAUUCUGAUGAAUGCCUUUUCAAAGAGCACCCAGCCCUGAAGUCAAACACCCUGCACUUCACGUUCAUGGUGACGUUUAGCAUUGCCAUCCCAUUUGCUCAUGGCCUUGCUCAAUGGGGGCCCUUUCCUUAACAUUCAAGGACAUGGCCCCAAAGGGGCCACAGGGAACUCCCAGCCUUUCGUGGACAUCACAGAAAUGGCAACUACGCGCGGACUCACACUCGGGACCCGCAGUGCUGCUGGGUCAUGCCUACUUCUCUGUCUUGCUGCUUCGCUAGAAGUCCAGCAGCGUCCCUGUUGAAGCCACGACGACUGUGCUACAAGAAAGAGAACACGGAACGGCGAGGGGCAGAGAGGGAGAC